rnacentral:lncRNA from 1 species
AAAUCAUUUUUCUCUGAGUCAGAACCCCGGUAGUUUGCUUCAAACUCCUCAAUAUCAGCUUCAGUAACCUGUGGUUCAUUACAAAAAAACACAUAAAAACAUGUAUACCACAAUGCAUCAGGAAAAACAUGUAUACCACAAUGCAUCAGGAAAGGGGAUAGCAAAUAUUCAACAGAUACCUUCUUGUACAUUGUUUUGAAAAACGCGUGAAGAUUCUGAACAUCUCCUGCCAGAUC